CGCGGGGUGGAGCAGUCUGGUAGCUCGUCGGGCUCAUAACCCGAAGGUCGUAGGUUCAAAUCCUUCCCCCGCUACCA
rnacentral:tRNA from 3 species